ACCCGCUGAACUUAAGCAUAUCAAUAAGCGGAGGAAAAGAAACCAACAGGGAUUGCCCUAGUAACGGCGAGUGAAGCGGCAACAGCUCAAAUUUGAAAUCUGGCGUCUUUGGCGUCCGAGUUGUAAUUUGCAGAGGGCGCUUUGGCAUUGGCAGCGGUCCAAGUUCCUUGGAACAGGACGUCACAGAGGGUGAGAAUCCCGUACGUGGUCGCUAGCCUUUACCGUGUAAAGCCCCUUCGACGAGUCGAGUUGUUUGGGAAUGCAGCUCUAAAUGGGAGGUAAAUUUCUUCUAAAGCUAAAUACUGGCCAGAGACCGAUAGCGCACAAGUAGAGUGAUCGAAAGAUGAAAAGCACUUUGGAAAGAGAGUUAUAAAGCACGUGAAAUUGUUGAAAGGGAAGCGCUUGCAGCCAGACUUGCCUGUAGUUGCUCAUCCGGGUUUUUACCCGGUGCACUCUUCUAUAGGCAGGCCAGCAUCAGUUUGGGCGGUUGGAUAAAGGUCUCUGUCAUGUACCUCUCUUCGGGGAGAACUUAUAGGGGAGACGACAUGCAACCAGCCCGGACUGAGGUCCGCGCAUCUGCUAGGAUGCUGGCGUAAUGGCUGU
rnacentral:rRNA from 1 species